rnacentral:rRNA from 1 species
UGUAUUGGAAUGAUAGAAAUUUAAACCCUUUUUAAGUAUCAUUGGAGGGCAAGUCUGGUGCCAGCAGCCGCGGUAAUUCCAGCUCCAAUAGCGUAUAUUAAAAUUGUUGCAGUUAAAAAGCUCGUAGUUGAAGUUCUGCUAAAAGUACCGGUCUGCUUUUAAUAAAGGUGGUAUCUUGGUGUGUAUUUAGCAAUGAUGUCCUUUGAAGUGUUUUUUACUUUAUUGUAAUAAAGCAUAUUCAGGACUUUUACUUUGAGAAAAUUAGAGUGUUUCUAGCAGGCUAACGCUUUGAAUACUGCAGCAUGGAAUAAUAAGAUAGGAUUUUAGUUCUACAUUAUUGGUUUUAAGAGCUAAAUUAAUGAUUGAUAGGGACAGUUGGGGGCAUUUGUAUUUAACUGUCAGAGGUGAAAUUCUUAGAUUUGUUAAAGACAAACUACUGCGAAAGCAUUUGCCAAAGAUGUUUUCAUUAAUCAAGAACGAAAGUUAGGGGAUCGAAGACGAUCAGAUACCGUCGUAGUCUUAACUAUAAACUAUGCCGA